CGACCCCGCCGGGAUGGGGGUCCCCGCCCCGCCCCGCGGGUUAUAUUCGGGGUUUUCGUUUAAAAGAGGCUUCGUGAGGGUUUGCUGCACGGAAAUGUGCGGGAAGGGUGUCUGCACUGUGCCCCGUGCUGCAGGGAUGGGGUAGGGACAGGCAGGUGAAACCCCCUGACUGAGGGGUUUUCCCCAUUACUGAGGGAAAAACAAUAAUCACAAAAUACAGAUGUCCGUACAGAGCAGCUUGAACGGCCUCCAGGGAGUUCUUAAAGGUUUGGUGCCACUCAGUGCGAACGUACAAUGCUCGACCCGAUUCUUUGACUGCAGCAGCAGCAGCUUGUUUGAAACCACAGAUGAGCAUUCUUCAGUAGACGCAGGCAAAGAUCCUGGUCAGGAUGAGCCGGGUUCACAGAAGAAGGGCGUUGAGAAAGCACAGAAAUGAUCCUGAACUUUCCUGCUCAGCCCACAGAGACCCCCAGCCAGCAUGCCCGUGCAUCAGCUGUGUAACAUUGCUCAGCAAUCUUCAGCGUGCACUGGUGUGUAAACAUGCUGAGAACUCAGGUAUCUUCAGAACAUAAGGAAACUUUACACUGAAAGUAAGGCAAUAAAAUAUGAGACCUGGCAUUCAAAUGCUGCACCGUUUGUAAAAGAGGGUUACUUUUGUGUUCAUCACCACUUGGUGCAUUGCAGCUCCUUGAAUCCCAUCAUUCUGGAGGAAAACAGGCUGCUUAUAAAACCAAUUAGUAAAAAUGGUACAGCAAAAAUCAAGAGCAUGGAUGUGCUAUUAUAACAUACUCAGCCCAAGGACUGAACAGGACUUGAGCCUGAAACCAGCCGAGGCCAUUUCCUAGCAAGGUGUGAAAGGGUCACAAGUGGCAACCCAGCAGGGUCAUGUAAAAAAAACUGAACCAAUCUGAAAAAGUAAAAAAGUUUCA